UGAUGGCGGCCGCCCCGCGCCCUCAGCCCGGCCCGCCCUCCCCGGCGGGAGAGGGGCGGUGCAGGGCCGCCCGUGGCGACUCCCGGGAGAAGAGCGGGCACGGCCUGGAUGCUGCUGGAGGGGAAGAUUUAGGAGAACUUGCUCAAAAUGUGUGAAUACUGGACCAGCUCCAGAUCUGACCUAGGACGCCCAAGACCCCCGGCGUCCAGAACCCCCAGAAUCUGCAAAAGAAGCUCAACGCCCUCCAUAGCACUACCUAGUUUCUUUUCUUUUCUUGUAUUAGAAAGUGUUCUUUUAUUAUUUGUUAAUAAAUAAGUUUUGUUUUCCACUA